rnacentral:rRNA from 1 species
AAUUUUGGACAAUGGGCGCAAGCCUGAUCCAGCCAUGCCGCGUGAGUGAAGAAGGCCUUCGGGUUGUAAAGCUCUUUCGGACGGAACGAAAUCGCGAAGGCCAAUACCCUGCGCGGAGGACGGACCGGCCGUACGAAGAACCGGCUAACAACGUCCAAGCAGCCGCGGUAAUACGUAGGGUGCGACCGUUAAUCGGAAUUACUGGGCGUAAAGCGUGCGCAGGCGGUUGAUUAAGACAGGCGUGAAAUCCCCGGGCUUAACCUGGGAACUGCGCUUGUGACUGGUCAGCUAGAGUACGGCAGAGGGGGGUGGAAUUCCACGUGUAGCAGUGAAAUGCGUAGAGAUGUGGAGGAAAACCGAUGGCGAAGGCAGCCCCCUGGGCCGAUACUGACGCUCAUGCACGAAAGCGUGGGUAGCAAACAGG